rnacentral:rRNA from 1 species
GACAGAGGGGGCUAGCGUUGUCCGAAGUUACUGGGCGUAAAGCGCGCGUAGGCGGGUUGGUAAGUCCGCUGUGAAAGCCCGGAGCUUAACUCCGGAGGGUCGGUGGAUACUGCCAGUCUUGAAGGUGCUAGGGGGAGAUGGAAUUACCGGUGUAGCGGUGAAAUGCGUAGAUAUCGGUAGGAACACCAGUGGCGAAGGCGGUCUCCUGGGGCAUUCUUGACGCUGAGGCGCGAAAGCUGGGGGAGCAAACGGG